rnacentral:rRNA from 1 species
AUACAUGCAGUCGUACGCUUCUUUUUCCACCGGAGCUUGCUCCACCGGAAAAAGAAGAGUGGCGAACGGGUGAGUAACACGUGGGUAACCUGCCCAUCAGAAGGGGAUAACACUUGGAAACAGGUGCUAAUACCGUAUAACAAUCGAAACCGCAUGGUUUUGAUUUGAAAGGCGCUUUCGGGUGUCGCUGAUGGAUGGACCCGCGGUGCAUUAGCUAGUUGGUGAGGUAACGGCUCACCAAGGCCACGAUGCAUAGCCAACCUGAGAGGGUGAUCGGCCACAUUGGGACUGAGACACGGCCCAAACUCCUACGGGAGGCAGCAGUAGGGAAUCUUCGGCAAUGGACGAAAGUCUGACCGAGCAACGCCGCGUGAGUGAAGAAGGUUUUCGGAUCGUAAAACUCUGUUGUUAGAGAAGAACAAGGAUGAGAGUAACUGUUCAUCCCUUGACGGUAUCUAACCAGAAAGCCACGGCUAACUACGUGCCAGCAGCCGCGGUAAUACGUAGGUGGCAAGCGUUGUCCGGAUUUAUUGGGCGUAAAGCGAGCGCAGGCGGUUUCUUAAGUCUGAUGUGAAAGCCCCCGGCUCAACCGGGGAGGGUCAUUGGAAACUGGGAGACUUGAGUGCAGAAGAGGAGAGUGGAAUUCCAUGUGUAGCGGUGAAAUGCGUAGAUAUAUGGAGGAACACCAGUGGCGAAGGCGGCUCUCUGGUCUGUAACUGACGCUGAGGCUCGAAAGCGUGGGGAGCAAACAGGAUUAGAUACCCUGGUAGUCCACGCCGUAAACGAUGAGUGCUAAGUGGUUGGAAGGGUUUCCGCCCUUUCAGUGCUGCAGCUAACGCAUUAAGCACUCCGCCCUGGGGAGUACGACCGCAAGGUUGAAACUCAAAGGAAUUGACGGGGGCCCGCACAAGCGGUGGAGCAUGUGGUUUAAUUCGAAGCAACGCGAAGAACCUUACCAGGUCUUGACAUCCUUUGACCACUCUAGAGAUAGAGCUUCCCCUUCUGGGGCAAAAUGACAAGUGGUUGCAAGGGUUGUCGUCAACCUCCUGUCCUGAGAAGAUUGGGGUUAAUUCCCCCCACGAAGGGCACCCCUUAUUGUUAGUUGCCCCCCUUCCACUUGGGGCCUCUUCCAAAAAAGGCCGGUGAAAAAACCGAGGAGAGGUGGGG